CCAAUCCAAUAGAAUAUGAAUCAGAUCUUGUCAAGGCCCCAUGGAAUAAGUAAGAGGCACCAGGCUUCCCUAUUCAGAUCCCAAUAGUUUUUCCUAACUCAGUAACCUUUCAUAGUAAACAGAGAAACUAGAAUCAUUUUUCUUUCUCCUUGGUUAUUAUUCUGAGGGUUGCAGAUUUUGAAGUUAUUUUUGUUUCCAUCAACU
rnacentral:lncRNA from 1 species